UACGGGAGGCAGCAGUGGGGAAUAUUGCACAAUGGGCGCAAGCCUGAUGCAGCCAUGCCGCGUGUAUGAAAAAGGCCUUCGGGUUGUAAAGUACUUUCAGUCGUGAGGAAGGUGUUAAGGUUAAUAACCUUAGCAAUUGACGUUAGCGACAGAAGAAGCACCGGCUAACUCCGUGCCAGCAGCCGCGGUAAUACGGAGGGUGCGAGCGUUAAUCGGAAUUACUGGGCGUAAAGGGCACGCAGGCGGUUAAUUAAGUUGGAUGUGAAAUCCCCGGGCUUAACCUGGGAAUGGCAUUCAAGACUGGUUAGCUAGAGCCUUGUAGAGGGGGUAGAAUUCCAUGUGUAGCGGUGAAAUGCGUAGAGAUGUGGAGGAAUACCGGUGGCGAAGGCGGCCCCUGGCAAAGGACUGACGCUCAUGUGCGAAAGCGUGGGGAGCAAAC
rnacentral:rRNA from 1 species